UGCAAGAAAAAGCAAGGUAAAGAAGCCGUGAGAAGAAGCAGCCAACAGUGUUCCUCCAUGGCCCCUGCCUCUGUCCUUGUAGAGUUCCUGCCUUGAUUUCCCUCAGUGACGACCCGUGAUGGGAACCAAAUAGAGACCUUCCCUCCCCAAAUUGCUUUUGCUCGUGGCGUUUAGCACAGCAACAGAGGGCAAACUGGGACAGCCCUUGAAGUCUGAAGGAUGGAAACUGUGAUGCAAACCGCCACGCCCUGCCGGCGCCGUGUCUCUUCAGCCCCCUGUACAUGACACCUCCUCACACAAGAGUUUCCCUUGCAUCUAUCCCUCCACAAAAAUCACUGAAGAAAGCUGUCCACGGCAACACUGGAUCUGGAACAUACCCAGGGCACUGCGUGAUCAAGACAGUCUGGCUUCUGCCUGCAGAGAGGCUCCCUUACACCUAUCCUGACUUAUCUGUGCUCAGGCGACUGCUGUAUCCAACUCCUGUCCGUGUGCUGAUUUCAGACGCAGUUUUUAAGUCAGAGCUCCCACCCCAGUGGAGCACUAAUAUGCAUUCAGCAUCUUUGGUACCCUGAUCCCGCGAGCUCUUGGAAACACUCUGCCAGCUGCUCAGAAGGAUGCUUGCCUCCUUCUAGGGGCCCGAUUCAAGGCCCCCCAAAGCUUACAGUACCGGGGUAUUAAUAUCAGACCAUCUGAACUACACCCUAGUGUCAGGAAAACCCAUCCAGUAAGUUGGGUAGGACACAGAAACAUAAGAAAGCUUCACUGCCAAAGAAAUAAAGUCAUGCUCACAAACGACACGUUCGGGACUGCAGGGGCAUAUGUCAGAGGUGUCAGAGAAAGAGAGGGGACAGAAUACCUGACACCUGAGCCGCACUCAGUCACACUGCUCAGCAGCUGCGGGACUUCAUAUUCCAAAACUGUCUUUAGCUGCCCAUCCCCCACACCGUCUCGGUAUAUGAUUAUCCUCGAGGGCAAAUCGUGGUUGUGCUUAUACCACUUGUUGAGGGCACCUGGAGAAUGUGACAUUGAUGAGAAGAGAGUCGUCAGUCCAGGGCUACCAAAAAUAACAUCACCUUUAAAUCACUCUGCUUUUUCAGACCACGGAAAAAGGCAAGACUUAGUCUGCAGUACUAAAAUAUGGCUAACCAGCACUAUUCCUCCAUCCCUGCUGUCUGAGCAAUCACAAGGGUUUCUGUGGCAUAAUAUACUCUUAGAUUUCACAUAUUUCUUUACUCAAAUUUGAAUAUUUAAGUGACAAAUCAAAAUUUGAUUCACGCAGUAGACAAAUGCCUAGAGCCAAAUUAGCACUAAUUCAACUUUAAGCCUUCGAAUCUGCUCAGGACAGACUGGGUGUGUUUGUGUCAUUUUCUUCCCUAAUGAGAACUAAGAUGAAAAAACAAGGAAAUGACUCGGCCGUCUUUGAAAACAGCUCCUCGCACCAACUCCCAAGCUGAGUCUAACUGUCACAGAUGGGAUGGAGUCUGAAACAUUUCCACCCACUCUAAAUGUAAACUGCCUCAGAGCAGGCACCAGCCGGGAGACUUUCAGCAAGGAUGGCUAAAACAUUAGCCAGGUUUUUAAAUGAAGAGAAAGUACCGGCAUGCAGUAAUCCCUUUUUGUGUGUAUGUUGCAUAAUUCAUUUCAGGAGAAUUUACUGCCUGGGAAAUUAGUUUGGUUUGACAGAAGAUAAUCACACUUCCAAGAGCAAGCCCAUCAAGGACCAUCAAGUUCACUUAAAAGACAUCCCAAGCCCUCAGCUUUACAGACUGGAAGCUACAGAUAAGAACAGGGCAGAUUUGCAUAUGGAUCCCAGGGUAAAGCCCAAAGUGGCUGGGCUUGUGGAGAGGACACAGCUCCUCACUUCCUGCCUCCCCUGUCUUCCUCUAUCUUACUUCCUGCAUUUCCCACCCUCAGGGCAAAGGGCUGGUCAACCCCCACCCCCGCCCCCUGCAGAUUUACUGCUGCCGGCAUCCUAGUUUCUCCAGUGCAGGCUUCUGUCUGCCCCAGUCUCUCCAGGGCCACCUGGGUAAGCAUGCACUAUUCCCUCUUGGCUUUGAGCUCAGCACACCACGACAUAAACCCCACACCGUCUGUUAGCACACAGACGCGGGGAUCUCCAGCUGGGUGAGAGCUGCCAGGCUUGGGCAUUUGCUUCCAUCCGGUCUAUGGAUUUGGGGUAUGAAGGAACAGUCCCCAGAGUGCACCCCAUUAAGAUACCAGUCAAGCAGACUUUUAGGCAAUCUGCAGUAUCAGCGGCCGUUCUCUGAAGAACACAUCGGGAAAACCACCUGAAAUAAAACGCAGAAGGGAAACACAAUUUCCAGAUCCUGCUAUAAACACGUCCAUCAAGUUAGAGACAGAAGACAGCCACAAAAACCAGGCUCCUAACUCUGUGUAUGUCAACCAUCAUGCUAAGUGGUCCUCUUCCUAGCUUGAAGUCAUCCUUCAGAUUCCAACCCUGACCAGGAAACUCAACAGCUGUGUGACCUUGACACAAACCCAAACUUGAACUUCUCUCUGUUCCAGGGGAGUUUAAAGGACAGUGAUGAGCACCUCCUAAAGUGAACAGUUUUAACUCAACACCACACGGGAAGUAUUUGCAGAAGGGGUCCUGAUACAGGCUCACACCUUGAUUGCAAGAGAGUGUGUCAGCUGAGCACAUAUUCUGCUUGUAAAAUGUUCGGAGAUUUCUCAAACUUUAACCCAGUCCUAGAGGUGACUCUCCCGGAGUGACCACCUCAACAAGAUUAAGCUGUUGGGAUUUCAAAGGUGGUCUUGAGAGUUGUUAAUUAAGGCACAUGGAAAAUGAAAGUCCAGACACUCAGUGUGUGUCCGGACAUGGAUAUGAAGGGUCCCCUCAAGAGCUCUGUAUGCUGGAGGCUUGCACUUCAGCUGGUGGGGCUACGGAGUAGUGAUUCCAUCACCAGAGUGCUAACAGCAUCAGAUUAAUCCACAGAGCUGAUCUGAACUAACAGCUGGGUGUGUGCCAAGGACCGAGGGAGGCUUGGCUGGAUGCAGGCCACUGGGGCCUUUGAAAGGUGUCUUUCCCUGUACACCCAAUCCCCAGUGCUGCUUUCUGUCUCCGCCUCCCGGCUGCCCUGAGGUGAGCAGCUGUGCUCAGCACAGCUCGGAUCUCAUCCUCACCCCAGGUCCAGAGCAAUGGGGUUGUGUGCGGAUUGCCUGACACCUCUUUGUCCCGAUUUUAAGAGCCAUUCACGCGCCCCACACAUCAAGCACACGCAAGUGCUAGGAAGAAAAAUAACUGUGUACCGAGAUAUUCAUUGCAGGUUGCAAUGUUUGGAGCAUUGAUCUGAUACAAUCCCACGGAAACCUUAAGAAAUAGUCGCUGUCAUUCUCCCCUUUUAAUGGGCAACUAUGGGACCUGUAGCUAAACUUGACAAUUGGGCCUCACUUGCAAAGUAAAAGGCAGACCAGGUACAACUGAAAGCAAUCUGUUUUCAACACCAAGGGCUUUACAUACUACAUGCUACAUGCUACAUACUACAUACUACAUGCUACAUACUACAUACUACAUACAUGAGGUGCCUAUUCACAGAGUGCUUCUCAUCCACGCUUAUAGCAACAUGCACAAGAAAUUUCCAUGCAUUCAUGAUCCAGGGAUGUGGCUGGAGGACAAACAGUAACUCACCCCAGCGAAUGUGUGAAAAACGGUUUCAAACUGGUUUCACUCUAACAGUGCCAAUCACAUUGUAAUACACCGUGCAUUAACUUAACUGUCCAUAUUUAAAAUAUGAGUAAGUAAUACCGACUGGUACGUGUGUCGCAUGUUCUUCAAAAUGUGACUAAAACUCUGGUGGAGGGGCAGGGGAGACGGUUCAGGAGGUAAAUGCACUGGACUUAACACCAAACCUAAUGACUUAACACCAAAUCUAGUGACCCGAGCUCCAUCCCCAGGCCCCACAUGGUACAAGGAGAGAACCCACUACGGUCUUCUACUGAAAGUCGUCUUCUGACCUACACACCACACACACACACACACACACACACACACACACACCAUGACAUACACAUACACAAAUUAAUAAAAUAUUUAAAGAUUGUAGCAGAACAAUAAUGGCAAUAAUGGGGGGUGGACUGAUCAAAGUACUUUCCAGAUGUUUCAAAAUACAACGAGACACCUAUGCUAGUGUUUCUCAACCUUCCUGAUGCUGUGGCCCUUAAAUACAGUUCCUGAUGUUGUGGCGA